GGCCCUCGGGGGUGGAGGUCUUUGAUUUCAUAAGAGCCUGAUAGAUUUUUCUAAGAUAUGUGUAACACACCAACUUACUGUGACCUGGGAAAGGCUGCUAAGGAUGUCUUCAACAAAGGAUAUGGCUUUGGCAUGGUGAAGAUAGACCUGAAAAUCAAGUCUCGUAGUGGAGUGGAAUUUUCUACUUCUGGUCACGCUUACACUGAUACAGGGAAAGCAUCAGGCAACCUAGAAACCGAAUGUAAGGUCUGUAACUAUGGACUUACCUUCACCCAAAACGGAACACAGACAAUACCCUUGGGACAGAAAUCUCUGGAGAAUAAGUUGGCUGAAGGGUUGAAACUGAGUCUUGAUACCACAUUCGUACCGAACAGAGGAAAGAAGAGUGAGAAAUUGAAGGCCUCCUAUAAAUGGGAUUGUUCUAGUGUUGGCAGUGACGUUGAUAUAGAUUUUUCUGGAUCAACCGUCUAUGGCUGGGCUGUGUUGGUCUUUGAAGGGUGGCUUGUCGGCUGUCAGAUGAGUUUUGACACAGCCAAAUCCAAAUUGUCACAGAAUAAUUUUGCCCCGGGUUACGAGGCUGCAGACUUCCAGCUGCACAUACAUGUGAAGGAUGGCACUGAAUUUGGAGGUUCUAUCUACCAGAAGGUUAAUGAGAUUGAAAUGCCAAUAAACCUUUCUUGGACGGCUGGAAGUAACAACACCGGUUUUGGCAUUGCUGCUAAGUACAAGCUGGACUGUCGAACUUCUCUUUCUGCUAAAGCAAAUAAUGCCAGCCUGAUUGGACUGGGUUCUACUCAGACCCUUCGACCCAGAGUCAAGUUGACCCUUUAUCAGCUUUAAUCAAUGGAAAGAACUUCAAUGCAGGAGGUCGCAAGGUUGGCUUAGGAUUUGAACUGGAAGUGUAA